rnacentral:rRNA from 1 species
AUGCUCUUGUCGCAUCACACGACUUUGCUGCCUCACGUAACACCGCAGCUUCACACUGCCGUCGGCAUCUUGCCGUGCUCGCCGCAUCGCACGGUAGUUCGGCAUCUCGCCUUCUUCGUACGCCUUCGUCGAAGCAACACCGGACUAGCUACUCUAGACCAUCUACACUAUAUGCAAAACUUAAAACCAAUAUGCAGAUACAAAACAUCAAGAUUAGUUCUAACAUUCACCCCCCUAAUCUUUGAUGUCAGUCUUCGACGCGGAUCACCCGCAGCUUCUUGUCGACGCCAUCGCAGCGCCGCAGACCACCGCACUCCAUCUUAUUAUGGACGACGCCAUCGCAGCGCCGGUCACAACCACGCACCAUCUUAUCGUGGUCGACGGCGUCAAGCGCCCAUCAUCACGUCCUCUUGCCGCACCCGGCGAUCACCUCUUGACAUGGAUGACGCCUUGGUGACGCCGAUCGCCACGUCGUCUCUUCAUAACGGCUUCGCGCCGUCAAAGCCACCAGCGGCCUCACACCGCCACCGACCUCCUAGCGGUAUCGCACCGCAACCUGCUGUUGGCGGCAUCACACCACCGACUGCCUUCUUCUCACGCCGCCGGCCUCCAUCUCGCAUGGAGUCCGCCGCGCCACAGCCGACGCCGUCGCAGCGCGGGUCACCAUGGACCAUCUUGUCGUGGAUGACGUCCUCGCGACGACCGACCACCACACCAUCAUCAUCUUGCGGCAUCCCACCGCAACCGGCCGCUCGCGGCAUCGCGCCGUCGCCGGCCUCCUCGCGCCAUCGGCCUCACCUCACAUGGAGUCGACCACGCCGCCGUCGCCGCCUCGGAUCAACCUGGCUCUGUAUACCAAUUGUUGGCGCCGCCUUUCGCCGCAGCGCCGUUUCUUCUUCUACCUCGAGCUGCCUCGCACAACUCUCUAUCUCUUCUCUUGAGUUUCUUUCUACUCUCAAGAAGACACAAUGGAGAAGAACUCACAGGUACAGAAAACACACACGACACACACAGACACACACACACUUCACCAAGGAGAGGAAAGGCUUUGCUUCUUCCCCCGGUGAGAACACAUGUGCUACAUGGUUUUUUCUUUAG